CAGCAGCCACGGGAAUACGUAGGGUGCAAGCGUUAACCGGAAUUACUGGGCGUAAAGCGUGCGCAGGCGGUUUCGUAAGACAGAUGUGAAAUCCCCGGGCUCAACCUGGGAACUGCAUUUGAGACUGUAUGGCUAGAGUGUGUCAGAGGGGGGUAGAAUUCCACGUGUAGCAGUGAAAUGCGUAGAUAUGUGGAGGAAUACCGAUGGCGAAGGCAGCCCCCUGGGAUAACACUGACGCUCAUGCACGAAAGCGUGGGGAGCAAACAGGAUUAGAUACCCGCGUAGUCCCUGUCUCUUAUAC
rnacentral:rRNA from 1 species